rnacentral:rRNA from 1 species
GACGAACGCUGGCGGCGUGCCUAAUACAUGCAAGUCGAGCGGACCUCUUCGGAGGUCAGCGGCGGACGGGUGAGUAACACGUGGGCAACCUGCCUGUAAGACUGGGAUAACACCGGGAAACCGGUGCUAAUACCGGAUAAUCCUUUUCCCCACAUGGGGAAAAGCUGAAAGACGGUUUCGGCUGUCACUUACAGAUGGGCCCGCGGCGCAUUAGCUAGUUGGUGAGGUAACGGCUCACCAAGGCGACGAUGCGUAGCCGACCUGAGAGGGUGAUCGGCCACACUGGGACUGAGACACGGCCCAGACUCCUACGGGAGGCAGCAGUAGGGAAUCUUCCGCAAUGGACGAAAGUCUGACGGAGCAACGCCGCGUGAGCGAAGAAGGCCUUCGGGUCGUAAAGCUCUGUUGUCAGGGAAGAACACGUACCGGAGUAACUGCCGGUACCUUGACGGUACCUGACCAGAAAGCCACGGCUAACUACGUG